AACGAACGCUGGCGGCAGGCUUAACACAUGCAAGUCGAGCGCGUAGCAAUACGAGCGGCAGACGGGUGAGUAACGCGUGGGAAUCUACCGUACCCUAUGGAAUAGCUCCGGGAAACUGGAAGUAAUACCAUAUACGCCCGAAAGGGGAAAGAUUUAUCGGGGUAUGAUGAGCCCGCGUUGGAUUAGCUAGUUGGUGGGGUAAAGGCCUACCAAGGCGACGAUCCAUAGCUGGUCUGAGAGGAUGAUCAGCCACAUUGGGACUGAGACACGGCCCAAACUCCUACGGGAGGCAGCAGUGGGGAAUAUUGGACAAUGGGCGCAAGCCUGAUCCAGCCAUGCCGCGUGAGUGAUGAAGGUCUUAGGAUUGUAAAGCUCUUUCACCGAUGAAGAUAAUGACGGUACCUACAGAAGAAGCCCCGGCUAACUUCGUGCCAGCCGCCGCCGUAAUAC
rnacentral:rRNA from 1 species